CUUCUGUGUUUUGCAAUCCUCUGAAAUUCAGCAUCUUAAGAUAAGUCCAUGGUUUCAUUAUUCCUUACCAUAUAACACAUUGCAUGGUCUGUUUCUAAAUUAAGCAGUAUUAUAUGAAGUUAAAGUGUCAUGCAAGAGUGUGUACAUGGGUCACCCAUUAAGAAAUAAAUUAUCAUUUAUUUUACAAAUGGGGCCUAUAAGCUAUGCUUAAUGUAUCCCUAGCAAGUGGCAAGUGGUCAGCUUGCAACAUAACAGUAUAUUCUGUUUCAUAACUACACACAUAGUGUGCAUCGCUAACUAGAUAAGCUGGCUCAGGCACACAUAGCUCGUUUAGGUCAUUAGCUAAAUAACGAAGAAUAUGACACCCAGGAACACAUUGCUAAUGUGGCAAGUGUAAUGUUGUUACACUAGAUUAUUGAAAUUAUUAUUAACUAAUGGCACUAACGCAGGAGGCUUUUAUUUUGAAAUUUGUAUUAGGGAAAAUUGCACAGUGAUGAAGAGUCAUGUGAUCGCAAGCACAAUAAUAUUGUCACUUUUAUUUCUUUUUAUAUAUAUAAUUUGUAUUUCUUUGUUAUUAGUUUGGUUUUCUCCCUUUCUUAUGAAAUUGUUAAUCUAUAUAAAAUGUUUAGGAAGAACUGUUUACGUGAGUUACGUCGUCUGUAAGCACGAGGGAAGAGCUGAUGUAAUUUCCGGUGCUCUCUCUCUUUCGCGGGAUGUCAUUGCGAUGAGAGGCACUGCUAGACCUGAUAUUCUCCUGUUACUACCUGAUGGUGUCUGUUAUACUUUGAUACGUUUCUUUUCCUGCGUUUUUCUCUCGUAUAUUAUUAUUGUAUUUGUUUUUAUAAUUGUUAUUGUACGUUAUAAUGGUCUCUCUUUCGCGGGAUGUCAUUGCGAUGAGAGGCACUGCUAGACCUGAUAUUCUCCUGUUACUACCUGAUGGUGUCUGUUAUACUUUGAUACAGAAACUUCAGAAGCCGAAAGUAAACCACGUGACAACCGCAUCAUGGUGUGAGGUCUCUUUUAUUAUCAAAACACACAACGCAGAAGAAAACCCACUACAAAAUGGUGCCGUGACCCGUCGUUUGGUUUGCUGGUAGCUGACCGCCUGGGAUGCUGUAAGUGUGACCGUCUUUCCUGGAACUGUGGUGACAUCGUCGUUGAUCUUCGCAACUGGAGCGGUUCAUCAGUGACUGGUUUGGACUCUGACUUCUUUUUCUUUCAAAGGAACAAUUCUUUCUAAAAAAAAAAAAAAUUAUAGGACAUUAGACUUUAAGGUACUUUUGUUUCGGUAUACUAAAUUUUUUUUGUUGUUUAUAUACUUUGAUACAGGUAUGUAAAUGGAUCAUUAUAGUACUGGUUUCUUUUCCUGCGUUUUUCUCUCGUAUAUUAUUAUUGUAUUUGUUUUUAUAAUUGUUAUUGUACGUUAUAAUGGUCUCUCUUUCGCGGGAUGUCAUUGCGAUGAGAGGCACUGCUAGACCUGAUAUUCUCCUGUUACUACCUGAUGGUGUCUGUUAUACUUUGAUACAGAAACUUCAGAAGCCGAAAGUAAACCACGUGACAACCGCAUCAUGGUGUGAGGUCUCUUUUAUUAUCAAAACACACAACGCAGAAGAAAACCCACUACAAAGGCUUAAAUUCCAAUACAAACAGUAUUUCAAAAAUACAUUUGUAUUACAUGUGUUCAUGUGAUCAUUCCAUUUUAUGCAAUGAUGAGCCAGUUUCUUCGUUCUAUUUUUUAAAGAUUUUGCGUUUUGUUACUGUCCCAAUUUACCUGAACAUGUUAGAUAAAUUGGGAGAGUAGCAUCCGGCUGAUCCUAUAAAUUAAAAGAAUAAUACAUUUCUUAAUGUGAGAAAUUCUCUAGGCAGAUGCUAG
rnacentral:lncRNA from 1 species